AUGGGGACGGGGACGAUGCUCGGGGCCUGGCACCUGGCACGGGGCAGCCGAGGGAGCCCAGCUUCACCCCCCCCCCAUCCCUCUCCGCACCAUUCUUCCCUGGGCUGUGCCCACGCGGGGGCUCGGCCCCCACAGCCCGUGCCCACGAGGACGCAGGGGGCUGUUUGCACCUUGGUGCGGGCGCACGGGGCCGUACGGGGCCGUACGGGGCUGGGCGGGCGGGAGGCUGCUCCGUGGCACCGUGCCACGCGGGUAAAUAUUUUGCUCCAGCCACGGCUCCUGGCCCGCAGCCACCCGCAGCCGUUGGAGCACCGGGAGAUCCGGGGGCUGGAGCCAGCACCCGGCACCCCCCUUCCUCGCUCCGCGCCAGCGCCGCCUUCCUCAGCGCCAACGGCACCGCCUGGCCCCCGGCCCCGGCCGGGACGGCCCCGGUGUCCCGUGGCCGAGGUCCGGCUGCCAGCGGCUGUCCCGUGCGGGGCCGGGGGCAGAGCCCGCCACGUGCAGCGCCGGGCACCGACCGCGUGGGCACGGGGCCGGCCGGGACCUCGCCGGUGGCUGGAGCCGUGCCAGGGGUGGGUGCGUCCCCGCUCCCACGGCCCGGCCAAAGUCACCCGGGUUUUUAUACGUGGAGGUGUGGGAACGGGGGCCGGGCGGAUUCACCCCCCCGCUGCUCUUCGAGGAAGGAAGUUUGGGGUUUGGUGGAAUUUUCCGUGGGGAAACCGGCCGGGGCAGAGCCAGGUACGGCUUGGGGUGGCGGCGCGGUCCCCUGCCUCCGUGACACCCCAGGGCCACGGCUGGUGGCAGCACGGGGCCCCCCAGCACGAGGAGGACGGGACGUUUCGGGGUCCCGUGUCCCCACCGUGCCUGCAGGGUCUGUCCCCCACGGUUGCCCCCCAGGCAGAUCCUGUCCCGGGCUGGCUGUCCCCGUGCCGUGGGGCAGCCCCGAGGCCGUGCCCUGCGUUGUCCCCCCUGCCCGGGCUGCCCCGAUGCCCCCGUUGCCCUGCAGGGAAACUGAGGCACUGGCUACCGGGGACUCCCAUGGCCACCACCAGCCCCGGCCCGGCCCCCACCGCCACCGCGGUUGGGGCCCCCCCGGAGGGGAACGGGUUAAGGGGCCCCCGCGGGCUCGAACCCCCCUCGCGGGCUCCCCGAAGCUCCCCGAGGGCUCAUUAUCCGCGGCCUCGGCCCCCCUGCCCGGGGGGAUGA
rnacentral:lncRNA from 1 species